CGGGACGGGUGAGUAAUGUCUGGGAAACGUCGCCUGUGGAGGGGGAUAACUACUGGAAACGGUAGCUAAUACCGCAUAACGUCGCAAGACCAAAGAGGGGGACCUUCGGGCCUCUUGCCAUCGGAUGUGCCCAGAUGGGAUUAGCUAGUAGGUGGGGUAACGGCUCACCUAGGCGACGAUCCCUAGCUGGUCUGAGAGGAUGACCAGCCACACUGGAACUGAGACACGGUCCAG
rnacentral:rRNA from 1 species